CGGCAUGCAGAGGCCUCUCGCUGCCUCUUGUUUCCUCCUCACACGUUCUCUGCUUCCUGUUUUCGGAAGAACUGCGAUGUCGGUAGCGGAUGGUGAGAACUGCCAGGAAUGGAAAUGAGUCUGCACAGCUCCAAAUUAGGUUAUGAGGAGACAAAGGAUGAGGAAUCAAGGAAGAGGAGGCAAGCCGGAAACCACAACUAAGUCAUCCCUAGAGGCAGCACCUUCUUGCUCCAUUGCAACCCAGCUAGAUGCACGUCAUAGAUCCGAAUGCUGGACACUCAGAAUGGAACAUGGCCAGAUGCAGAUACAGAGGAAUGAAUUUAAGCUGGUGAAGUUAGCAGUGUUCUAGCUCAUCUGGGGGCCAUGCAAGAGAGAGCCUUCUCGUCCAUGGUGGCCCCUGCCCUGUGGAGCUCUCUGCCCUGGGAGAUCAGGUUGGCGUCCACUCCCCCUCUUUUAACUUUCUGGAAGGUUGUAAAGAGCUGCCUGCUCCAGCAAGCCUUGUGCCCCAUCUCUCACCUAUGAUCGGUUUUAAACAGCUCUUCAUUAUUUUUAUCUCAGUCUGCCAUUUUGUGCAUGCUUUUACAUUGUAUUUCUGUUAUAGUUAUGUUUUUAUUGCUAUUUGCAGAUUAAGCUGCUUUAGCUCUGCAAAAAGAAAUGUGGAAUAUGAUAUUUAUACAAUAUAUAUAUGGUAACCAAAA